rnacentral:snRNA from 1 species
GUGCUUGCUUUGGCAGCACAUAUACUAAAAUUGGAAUGAUACCGAGAAGAUUAGCAUGGCCCCUGUGCAAGGAUGACACUCAAAUGUGUGAAGUGUUCCAUAUUUUU